rnacentral:rRNA from 1 species
CCUACGGGUGGCAGCAGUCGAGAAUCAUUCACAAUGGGGGAAACCCUGAUGGUGCGACGCCGCGUGGGGGAAUGAAGGUCUUCGGAUUGUAAACCCCUGUCAUGUCGGAGCAAAUUAAAAAGAUAGUACCACAAGAGGAAGAGACGGCUAACUCUGUGCCAGCAGCCGCGGUAAUACAGAGGUCUCAAGCGGUGUUCGGAAUCACGGGGCGUAAAGCGUGCGCAGGCUGUUUCGUAAGUCGUGUGUGAAAGGCCCGGGCUCAACCCGCGGACGGCACAUGAUACUGGGAGACUAGAGUAAUGGAGGGGGGACCGGAAUUCUCGGUGUAGCAGUGAAAUGCGUAGAUAUCGGGAGGAACACUCGUGGCGAAGGCAGGUUCCUGGACAUUAACUGACGCUGAGGCACGAAGGCCAGGGGAGCGAAAGGGAUUAGAUACCCCUGUAGUC